UCAGCAAAACAAGUUCAAUCUGGAAUUUCCUGGUGAUGAAAGAGUGUUAGCUUACAAAAAUGUCCAUCCUUCCUGAGCACCUUCCAAUCCCAUUGAUUUCAGCUAGCAUAACAGCUAGCAUUUCAGCAUAACACCAGCUUUGACUAAUGAUGGACAACAGAGCCCUAAACUAACGGGAAGUCAAUGGGAGCCUUGCCAGUGGCCUCACCAGGCUUUGCACAAGGCCAUAGAAGUAUUUCCCCUUCCUCUAAAUAAUACAAGGAAUUUUCCUGGCAUGAGGAAGUGGCUUUCUGUGUUCCAUAUUAAAUAAUAGUUUUGGGCAGCCUUUGGCUCUUACGCUCCCUGAGCCUCUCCAGCAUUUUUCUCUAUUUUGUUUUUUUUUUGUUUGGGUUUUCUUUCAGGUUAUGAAUAUGAUGUGGCCAUGCAGUUCACCUUGGAAACACUUCAAACACUCCUACAGCCCCAAGGACUGGUUUUCCAACCACUGCUGUGGCUCCACCCCCAAAUAACAAGAACACUGUCAUUUCUAGUUCCAGCAAGGACAGGAUGUACAUGGACUCCAGUCAUAGCCAUCACUGUAGAAGCUAUCAGGAUCAGAAGAACAGAAGGAACACGUGUAUUCUUCUGACAGAAGCAUGCAUUUUACACCGCUCCUCAGGUGUUAGACCUCUGAAGGUAAAGAAAUUUAAAUACUUUGUUGUUAAGUUCUCCUAUAAGUGUAAAUAGGCCUCAUACUGUUUGUAAGACUUUCAAAGGCAUCUUGGGAAGAAGGAGCCCUUGUGUAGAAUUCAUGCCAUCUUAAAUGAUGGUUAAAAUGUGAGCCUUUCAACUGUAAAGGUAUUUCCUGAUUUCAUUCUUUGUGCCUAAGAUGCAUAGAUGCAAGAAUCAAAACUUGUGUUCAGCAGUCCAAAGUCACCUACAUGGGAGACAACAUUGGUUCACAUUGCUUCUAAAAUACAUUCUUUUGGAAGUUGCUUUCAGAUAUUUGCAUCCUCAUAAAAUCCUAUCGUGCAGUUUGCUACUGUACUUUUAAAGCAUUUUAUUAAUAUAUGAAAGCAUAUUAAUUCAAA